rnacentral:rRNA from 1 species
UACGUAGGUGGCAAGCGUUGUCCGGAUUUAUUGGGUUUAAAGAGCUCGUAGGCGGCUUGUCACGUCGGGUGUGAAAGCCCGGGGCUUAACCCCGGGUCUGCAUUCGAUACGGGCUAGCUAGAGUGUGGUAGGGGAGAUCGGAAUUCCUGGUGUAGCGGUGAAAUGCGCAGAUAUCAGGAGGAACACCGGUGGCGAAGGCGGAUCUCUGGGCCAUUACUGACGCUGAGGAGCGAAAGCGUGGGGAGCGAACAGG